rnacentral:rRNA from 1 species
UGGGGAAUAUUGGACAAUGGGGGGAACCCUGAUCCAGCCAUGCCGCGUGUGUGAAGAAGGCCUUAUGGUUGUAAAGCACUUUAAGCGAGGAGGAGGGUACUGGUAUUAAUACUACCAGCUACUGGACGUUACUCGCAGAAUAAGCACCGGCUAACUCUGUGCCAGCAGCCGCGGUAAUACAGAGGGUGCAAGCGUUAAUCGGAAUUACUGGGCGUAAAGCGCGCGUAGGUGGUUCGUUAAGUUGAAUGUGAAAGCCCCGGGCUCAACCUGGGAACGGCAUCAAAACUGGAGAGCUAGAGUAGGGCAGAGUGUGGUGGAAUUUACUGUGUAGCGGUGAAAUGCGUUGAUAUAGGAAGGGACACCAGUGGCGAGGGCGACCACCUGGGCUCAUACUGACACUGAGGUGCGGAAGCGUGGGGAGCAAACAGG